rnacentral:rRNA from 1 species
GUUGUGGCGGGGAAAUGCGCAGACAUCGGGAAGGACACCAGUGGCGAAGGCGCUCUGCUGGGCCAUAACGGACGCUCAUGAACGAAAGCCAGGGGAGCGAUAGGGAUGAGAUACCCCUGUAGUCCUGGCCGUAAACGAUGAACACUAGGUGUCGGGGGAAUCGACCCCCUCGGUGUCGUAGCUAACGCGUUAAGUGUUCCGCCUGGGGAGUACGCACGCAAGUGUGAAACUCAAAGGAAUUGACGGGGGCCCGCACAAGCGGUGGAGUAUGUGGUUUAAUUCGAUGCAACGCGAAGAACCUUACCAGGGUUUGACAUCCUGCGAACCUCUAAGAAAUUGGAGGGUGCCUUCGGGAACGCAGUGACAGGUGGUGCAUGGCUGUCGUCAGCUCGUGUCGUGAGAUGUUGGGUUAAGUCCCGCAACGAGCGCAACCCACGUUUUUAGUUGCCAGCAUUUAGUUGGGCACUCUAGAGAGACCGCCGGUGAUAAACCGGAGGAAGGUGUGGAUGACGUCAAGUCAUCAUGCCCCUUACAUCCUGGGCUACACACGUACUACAAUGCUACGGACAAAGGGCAGCGAACUCGCGAGGGCAAGCAAAUCCCAUAAACCGUGGCUCAGUUCAGAUCGUAGGCUGCAACUCGCCUACGUGAAGUAGGAAUCGCUAGUAAUCGCAGGUCAGCAUACUGCGGUGAAUACGUUCCCGGGCCUUGUACACACCGCCCGUCACACCAUGGAAGUUGGCCACGCCCGAAGUCGUUACUCCAACCCUUGUGGAGGAGGACGCCGAAGGUGGGGCUGAUGACUGGGGUGAAGUCGUAACAAGGUAGCCGUACCGGAAGGUGCGGCUG